AUUGAACGCUGGCGGCAGGCCUAACACAUGCAAGUCGAACGGUAACAGGAAGCAGCUUGCUGCUUCGCUGACGAGUGGCGGACGGGUGAGUAAUGUCUGGGAAGCUGCCUGAUGGAGGGGGAUAACUACUGGAAACGGUAGCUAAUACCGCAUAAUGUCGCAAGACCAAAGAGGGGGACCUUCGGGCCUCUUGCCAUCGGAUGUGCCCAGAUGGGAUUAGCUUGUUGGUGGGGUAACGGCUCACCAAGGCGACGACCCCUAGCUGGUCUGAGAGGAUGACCAGCCACACUGGGACUGAGACACGGUCCAGACUCCUACGGGAGGCAGCAGUGGGGAAUAUUGCACAAUGGGCGCAAGCCUGAUGCAGCCAUGCCGCGUGUAUGAAGAAGGCCUUCGGGUUGUAAAGUACUUUCAGCGGGGAGGAAGGGAGUAAAGUUAAUACCUUUGCUCAUUGACGUUACCCGCAGAAGAAGCACCGGCUAACUCCGUG
rnacentral:rRNA from 1 species